GGGAAACCACACCAGAGCUAGUGGGCUUGCAGCACCUGGGCGUCUGGCUCUGAGACAUCUUGUAAACCAGAAGAUUCCCUUCCCUCCCCCGCCUGGGCCAGCGGGGCCCUAUCUAGAGAGAUAAAGCCACUGCCAGGCUCCCAGAGCAGAGACGUUCUUAUCGCGGCUGUCUGGGGUACUUGGGAAUGUUAACUCUCCUGCUGAGCCUCCCUUGAUGUGAGGAGGGACCAGUCUUGGGAAGACACAAAGCAGACACCAGGGGAUGGACCUUCCCCACCCCCUCAGUGCCCUGCAGCCCUGAGCCAGCACUGAGAGGGGAGGACGGGCUCCGCUCCACUUGGGGUCCUCUUCCUCAACACCCAGGAUGUGUGCUUUUCCCCUUCAACACAUCCCUUCAAGUCACAAGAUUUGGAAGGGCUUCAAGGACCCUUUCUGUCAAUGUCCUAUGGCCUGAGAUGCCCUGUCAGAGCGCAGCACCGAGCCCACCGUGCCAGCUGAUAUACCUGUGUGACCUAAAAGCAAAGUCCCUUCACACCAGCAAGCACUUCCCACAUGCCAGGCACUCUUCUUCACAAUUUAAUUCUCCCAGCAACCCUGCAAUCUAACAUGGACGUUACUUCCGUUUCGCAGAGAAGGAAACUGAGGUACCAGGAUGUUAGAGCACUUGCACG
rnacentral:lncRNA from 1 species